GACGAACGCUGGCGGCGUGCCUAAUACAUGCAAGUCGAGCGGACUGAAGGGAGCUUGCUCCUUUAGGUUAGCGGCGGACGGGUGAGUAACACGUGGGCAACCUGCCCUGCAGACUGGGAUAACUUCGGGAAACCGGAGCUAAUACCGGAUAACACCGAAAACCGCAUGGUUUUCGGUUGAAAGGCGGCUUUUAGCUGUCACUGCAGGAUGGGCCCGCGGCGCAUUAGCUAGUUGGUGAGGUAACGGCUCACCAAGGCGACGAUGCGUAGCCGACCUGAGAGGGUGACCGGCCACACUGGGACUGAGACACGGCCCAGACUCCUACGGGAGGCAGCAGUAGGGAAUUUUCCGCAAUGGACGAAAGUCUGACGGAGCAACGCCGCGUGAGCGAAGAAGGUCUUCGGAUCGUAAAGCUCUGUUGUCAGGGAAGAACAAGUACCGUUCGAACAGGGCGGUACCUUGACGGUACCUGACGAGGAAGCCACGGCUAACUACGUGCCAGCAGCCGCGGUAAUACGUAGGUGGCAAGCGUUGUCCGGAAUUAUUGGGCGUAAAGCGCGCGCAGGCGGUUCCUUAAGUCUGAUGUGAAAUCUCGCGGCUCAACCGCGAGCGGCCAUUGGAAACUGGGGAACUUGAGUGCAGGAGAGGGGAGCGGAAUUCCACGUGUAGCGGUGAAAUGCGUAGAGAUGUGGAGGAACACCAGUGGCGAAGGCGGCUCUCUGGCCUGUAACU
rnacentral:rRNA from 1 species